rnacentral:rRNA from 1 species
GAUGAACGCUGGCGGCGUGCCUAAUACAUGCAAGUAGAACGCUGAAGCUUGGUGCUUGCCCCGAGCGGAUGAGUUGCGAACGGGUGAGUAACGCGUAGGUAACCUGCCUCUUAGCGGGGGAUAACUAUUGGAAACGAUAGCUAAUACCGCAUAAAAGUCGAUAUCGCAUGAUAUUGAUUUGAAAGGUGCAAAUGCAUCACUAAGAGAUGGACCUGCGUUGUAUUAGCUAGUUGGUGAGGUAACGGCUCACCAAGGCGACGAUACAUAGCCGACCUGAGAGGGUGAUCGGCCACACUGGGACUGAGACACGGCCCAGACUCCUACGGGAGGCAGCAGUAGGGAAUCUUCGGCAAUGGGGGCAACCCUGACCGAGCAACGCCGCGUGAGUGAAGAAGGUUUUCGGAUCGUAAAGCUCUGUUGUAAGAGAAGAACGAGUGUGAGAGUGGAAAGUUCACACUGUGACGGUAACUUACCAGAAAGGGACGGCGAACUACGU